rnacentral:rRNA from 1 species
UACGGAGGUCCCAAGCGUUGUUCGGAUUCACUGGGCGUAAAGGGUGCGUAGGCGGCGGGGUAAGUUCGGUGUGAAAGCUCGCAGCUCAACUGCGAAACGGCAUUGAAUACUACCUCGCUUGAGGUUUGGAGGGGGGACUGGAAUGCUCGGUGUAGCAGUGAAAUGCGUAGAGAUCGAGCGGAACACCAGUGGCGAAGGCGAGUCCCUGGACAAGACCUGACGCUGAGGCACGAAAGCUAGGGGAGCAAACAGG